rnacentral:rRNA from 1 species
UGGCGGACGGGGAGGUAAUGUCUGGGAAACUAGCCUGAUGGAGGGGGAUAACUACUGGAAACGGUAGCUAAUACCGCAUAACGUCGCAAGACCAAAGAGGGGGACCUUCGGGCCUCUUGCCAUCGGAUGUGCCCAGAUGGGAUUAGCUAGUAGGUGGGGUAACGGCUCACCUAGGCGACGAUCCCUAACUGGUCUGAGAGGAUGACCAGCCACACUGGAACUGAGACACGGUCCAG